rnacentral:rRNA from 1 species
UACGGAGGGGACUAGCGUUGUUCGGAAUUACUGGGCGUAAAGCGCACGUAGGCGGAUUUGUAAGUCAGGGGUGAAAUCCCGGGGCUCAACCUCGGAACUGCCUUUGAUACUGGGGACCUUGAGUCCGGGAGAGGUGAGUGGAAUUGCGAGUGUAGAGGUGAAAUUCGUAGAUAUCUGGAGGAACACCAGUGGCGAAGGCGGCUUCCUGGCCUGUAACUGACGCUGAGACGCGAAAGCGUGGGGAGCGAACCGG